rnacentral:rRNA from 1 species
GACGAACGCUGGCGGCGUGCCUAAUACAUGCAAGUCGAGCGAGCGAAACUAACAGAUUUACUUCGGUAAUGACGUUAGGAAAGCGAGCGGCGGAUGGGUGAGUAACACGUGGGGAACCUGCCCCAUAGUCUGGGAUACCACUUGGAAACAGGUGCUAAUACCGGAUAAGAAAGCAGAUCGCAUGAUCAGCUUUUAAAAGGCGGCGUAAGCUGUCGCUAUGGGAUGGCCCCGCGGUGCAUUAGCUAGUUGGUAAGGUAAAGGCUUACCAAGGCGAUGAUGCAUAGCCGAGUUGUGAGACUGAUAGGCCACAUUGGGACUGAGACACGGCCAAAACGCCUACGGGAGGCAGCAGUAGGGAAUCUUCCACAAUGGACGCAAGUCUGAUGGAGCAACGCCGCGUGAGUGAAGAAGGUUUUCGGAUCGUAAAGCUCUGUUGUUGGUGAAGAAGGAUAGAGGUAGUAACUGGCCUUUAUUUGACGGUAAUCAACCAGAAAGUCACGGCUAACUACGUG